rnacentral:rRNA from 1 species
UACAGAGGGGGCAAGCGUUGUUCCGAAUUACUGGGCGUAAAGGGCGCGUAGGCGGCCUUCUAAGUCGAACGUGAAAUCCCCGGGCUCAACCCGGGAACUGCGUCCGAUACUGGAAGGCUUGAAUCCGGGAGAGGGAUGCGGAAUUCCAGGUGUAGCGGUGAAAUGCGUAGAUAUCUGGAGGAACACCGGUGGCGAAGGCGGCAUCCUGGACCGGCAUUGACGCUGAGGCGCGAAAGCAAGGGGAGCAAACGGG